AGCCCCCGUAGUAUAACAAAUUACACUAGCCUUGUAAGCCAGAAACGAAAUACGCAUUUCCGAGGGCA
rnacentral:tRNA from 1 species